UACGGGGGGGAGCAAGCGUUGUUCGGAUUUACUGGGCGUAAAGGGCGCGUAGGCGGCCAGCGCAAGUCAGUUGUGAAAUCUCCGAGCUUAACUCGGAAAGGUCAACUGAUACUGCGCGGCUAGAGUGCAGAAGGGGCAACUGGAAUUCUCGGUGUAGCGGUGAAAUGCGUAGAUAUCGAGAGGAACACCUGCGGCGAAGGCGGGUUGCUGGGCUGACACUGACGCUGAUGCGCGAAAGCCAGGGGAGCGAACGGG
rnacentral:rRNA from 1 species